UACGUAGGGUGCAAGCGUUAAUCGGAAUUACUGGGCGUAAAGCGUGCGCAGGCGGUUGUGCAAGACCGAUGUGAAAUCCCCGGGCUUAACCUGGGAAUGGCAUUGGUGACUGCACGGCUAGAGUGUGUCAGAGGGGGGUAGAAUUCCACGUGUAGCAGUGAAAUGCGUAGAGAUGUGGAGGAAUACCGAUGGCGAAGGCAGCCCCCUGGGAUAACACUGACGCUCAUGCACCGAAAAGCGUGGGGAGCAAACAGG
rnacentral:rRNA from 1 species